rnacentral:tRNA from 1 species
AAGCUUAUAGUAUAACGGUUAGUACUCACUGUUGAUAUCGGUGAAGUAGAGGUUCGAUUCCUCUUGAGCUUA